rnacentral:rRNA from 1 species
GUGGGGAAUAUUGGACAAUGGGCGCAAGCCUGAUCCAGCCAUGCCGCGUGAGUGAUGAAGGCCUUAGGGUUGUAAAGCUCUUUUGUCCGGGAAGAUAAUGACUGUACCGGAAGAAUAAGCCCCGGCUAACUUCGUGCCAGCAGCCGCGGUAAUACGAAGGGGGCUAGCGUUGUUCGUAAUCACUGGGCGUAAAGCGCACGUAGGCGGACCAUUAAGUCAGGGGUGAAAGCCUGGAGCUCAACUCCAGAACUGCCUUUGAUACUGAUGGUCUCGAGUAUGGAAGAGGUUGGUGGAACUGCGAGUGUAGAGGUGAAAUUCGUAGAUAUUAGGAAGAACACCAGUGGCGAAGGCGGCUCACUGGUCUGGUACUGACGCUGAGGUGCGAAAGCGUGGGGAGCAAACAGGAUUAGAUACCCGGGUAGUCC